GUGAGACAUCGAGUCGUGACCACAAUACCACAUUCUGCGUAACAGGACCUUUUUCUCACUCAUAAUAUUGACUCUGAUAAUGUUUUCAUCACUAUGUGGCAACUGCGGAUCAGAUGAACAGCAUUCUGCACAGACCAAAUACACGGCAGCUCCUGCGAAUCCACCCAGAAAAUCAAAUCGAAAGAGCCGACUCCCAACUGGACAACCUGCAUGACUUCACAUCACUCAAUUGACAUAAAUUGUGCAAUAGAGUAGUUUCUGCUCCAGGCGGACAGGCAGCUGGCUGGAGGGGAUGAGAGACGGAGAGAGGAGUGUAU